AACAGUCUGUUUUGAAGUUUGAUCUAUCAAGUCUCCUACUCUUAUUUUUUUCACCUUCACUGUGAGAAAUUUGAUUUAAAACAUGUAUAGGUGUAUAUUGACUCAGUGUUGUCACCUCUUCUUCCCUAAUGUCUUGUUGGAGAGGUGACUGGAAUAGAGAAAAAUAGGGCUCUAAUUCUCAAAAUGAGACAUCCAUACUUACAAAAAACUUUCUAGUAGGCGGGUGAUAGCGCUUAUAACAUUUCUAAGUUGUAGAGUAGCCAACGAACACACACUUAAGAUCUCAAGGGUCUAAUUUAUCUAUAUUCCUCCUAGGAACAAAACAUACACAACCAAAAACUUUAGGAAGAACAAUGUAAGAAUUAGUACCUUGCAUAACUUACAAAGGGCUUUUAAAGUUUAGUGUUUUCAUAUGCAUUCUAUUAAUAAGAUAUGCAGGUGAAAGUACAAUAUCCCCCCAAUAAGGCUUUUGGGACAUUCAUUGUAAACACAAGGGCUCAAGCCUCUUCUAAUAAAUGUCUAUUCUUUCAUUCAGAGAUUCCAUGUUACCCAAAAAUAUUCACACAAUUAGUUUGAUGCGAUAUCCCAUGAGAUUAAGAAAGUUAUGAAACACAACUUCCAUGUAUUAUGUACCAUUAUCAAUUCUCAAAAUUUCAACUUUAGCAUCAAACUGGUUACAAAUAACUUUGUGAAACAACUCAAAACAAGUAAAAACCUCAUACUUUGCUCUUAUCAAAUACACACAUGUUAUCUUAGUACAAUAGUCAAUAAAAGAUAUAAACUAUCUAUAAUCAGAAAAUUAAAUAGUUUUAGUAAGACCCAUGCAUCAGAAUGAAUAAUUAAUUCGAAAUAGAACUUUUGUUUGUUAUUAAUAGAAGGAUAAGAGACUUUUGUAUGUUUUAAUUUUUUUCAUAAAUAAAUAUUAAUAGAAAACAACGGGCCACAACGACUAGAAACAAUCUAAGCUCACCCUCAAAGAACAGAGGAUAGCGUAAGCAAGCUAAGGACUGACAACACUAUAUCGUUUAAGUUGUACAAAGUUGAGGUCAAUUUCUAUUGAAGGUCUAUCAGAGUUUCUAUAAUGAUAGAGUUCAAAAAGAGGACCCUAUAAUAGUUGAAAGAAGCAAAGGCACAAUACAAGCCAAUAUCUAGCUAGUCCCAGAGGCUGUAACCAUACAAAAACUUAAUAAUUCCAUGGAGAAUAACAAAAACCAGGAAUGUCUCUGUAUAAGUGCAAGUGAAGUUGCUCAGGUUUCUGGAGCUCAAAACCGAGCAAGGUGGAGUCCAUGGACCUGUGCCAGGCAUGGAGCAGGCACAUAGGCUCAGAAAACUGAUGAAAUAACCCACCCAUAGAACAGGCUGUCUUGGGCUGAAUCUGAACUCUGGGAAGACUGCAAAACCUGGUUACAGUAGCUAGAGGAAGUAGCUGGGAAAUAACCAGGAAUAAGCAAUAACUGUGCACCUCCAAAUGUACCAAACAUUGUUAGAAAAGGCUAAAGAGAGGAAGCAUAUAUGUCUGGCAGAGCUGCACCAAGAAAAUUGGGAGAAUUGCAACUCUGUAUCAUGACAGCUAGACAGGUUAGAAAUCUGGGAAGGAAACUAGCAGGAAAGAACACUGAGCAUACAUUAUAGUUUUGAAGAGAAAUGCCGCCUCUUCUGCUGAAAAUUUUGGACAACCUAGACUGAGGACAAAGGCUGGACAGAUGAAUGGAGGAACAACAACCCAGGAGAACAGCUACCAAAGAUGACUGCAGUCUGAGUUGAAGGAGAAAGCUAGGUGAACUAGCCUGGAGAGCAAAUAGGGAAAGUUUUGCAAAAUCUGCACAUCUCCAGUAGCGGCAAAUUCUGCAAAAUCUGCAAAAAAGAAGGGCAACUCCUGGCCAUCUGCACAAUCUGUAACCAGUAACAAAUUCUUGCAGAGGGACAGAUCAAGAGGUUUGCAGAAAUCGAAAGAGCAGAGAGUUUCUCCUGCAAGAGCAGCAGUCCCCAGUGGUAACCGAAGCUGGAAGGCUGUGGCAAAAAUAUUGGCUGUUAGAGGAGCUAACAGCAGGUUUGUGAACUGAAGAAAACUGUCUCUGGGCAUGUAGAUUGCAGGCCCGCAGCAUCUUGGCAAAAUUAAAAACUAGGUAGCAAAGGUCUUCGAGAAACCUGUUAUCCUAUGCCUAAUUCUGUAAAACUUCAUAUCAGACUUAGAAUUCAGAUUGUAAUUCUUAAACAAACUAGGAUAUAACCUUUCUAAAGCAGAAAAAGAUGGAUGUCCUAAGUUUCUAUGCCACUGAAUCAAUUGUUGAUAAUUUCUCAUUGAUUCUCCUAAUAAAGCUUGGGUUUUAGAUGAGAGUAACGAACUGUAGCCUUCGUCUAGCCAAUAUAAGCCAUCUCACAUUCUACGAUAGCCAAUUGUUUUCCUUGUGUUCAACUUCGGAAAGACACAAAAAGACGAAUAACAUACAACUUUACAAUUAAGCAAAUGUACUAACAGAUAAAAGAUUAUUAGGGAAACUAGGAAUAUGAAGGACUGAAAAUAGAUUGAUUGAAGAAGUACAAUUAAUGGAACCUUUUCCAGAUAUAGGUGAUAAAGACCCAUCGGCAAUACAGACUUUAUUUUUACCCGAGUAAGGAGAAUAAGUUAGAAAAGAAUUGAAAGAGUCAAUUAUACGGUUUGAUGCUCCUAAAUCUAUAAUCCAAGGGUUAUUUCAAGUAGGACAGUUUGCAGUAAGAGUUAUACUUGAGUUAACAAAUUUAGAGAAAGAAAUCAUAGUCAAGGGAGAAUCAAGCCGAGACAAAAGACGUUUUAGGGUUUGAACAUCCUCAUUAGAAAGACUUCCACUAUUGACAGUUUUACCCGAUACUACCGUUUCUAUAAUUUCAGAUAGAUUAGCUUGUGAUCUGAAAGCACCUAAUCACUCACGGCCUCUACUUGGCAGAUCAUGAAGCUUCCAACAAUGUUCUUUAGUAUGUUGAGGGCUCCCACAAUAAUCACAUUUGAGGAGACCGUUUUCUAAUGCGUUUGUCUCACUAACUUUCAUCUGUUCAUGAAGAGAGUUGGCUAUCAUGCUUGAUCUGUCCACGAAGACAGUGUGUAACAUAGCACUUCUUUGUUCUUCCUGCUACAUAUAAGAAUAUGUUUGUCGUAAUGAGGGCAAAGGAUUUUUGCCUAGAACUUAAACCUGUAUCUAAUCAUAUUCCAUGUUCAGCCCAACAAGAAAAUCAUAUACUUGCUCAUUUUCUGUGGCUUUUUGAAAUUUGGUUGCAUCUUCAGGACGUGUAGCUUGAAAAUCUUGAUAAUAAUAAUCAAGUUCUUGCCAUAGACCACUGAAUUCAGCAAAGUAUUGUGCUAUAGUCUUCUCUCCUUGUUUCAUCCCAUGCACCUUAUUUCGCAACUUAUAGACAUGAACAUAAUUGCCUACUUGUGAAUAGGUUGUGGUUGCUGCACUCUGUAUUUUGAAAGUGGUGUUUAUUACCAAAUAUCCUUGAACAAUUUGUGGUUGCAUCAAGUUGAUAAGCCAGGACAUGACUGGAGAGUUUCCAGAUUCCCAUUGGUUGAGAGUUGGGUUUGUUAUGCUUGGUUUUGGAUUGUCCCCUUUACUAUGACCCUGCAAACUGUGAGCUUGGAUGAACAAAAGACAUGAUCCAUCUAGUGUUAUCGGGCUAAUCUGCAGUGCAGGAUUUUUGCCCAACAGUCCAACUUUAACUCUGCUGAUUUCAAUGGCAGUUUUGGAACAAUUCCCUUCGGUCAUGUUUGAUUAAUCAAGGCAGACUGUAUACUUCCUCUAUUGGCUGAAAAAGGGCAGCAAUUUAAACCUAAAUAGGUGAUAGGCUGCAGUUAGCUUCAAGGCUAAAAAGGAGAUAGCAAUUUAUAAAAACUUUAAGCAAGUGCUAGGUUGUACUUCAGCUUUCAGAAAAAGGAUCUCUUUCUAGAAAGCAGCGGUUUAGAGCAUAUGCUCUGAUAUCAUGUUGUGAGAAAAAAGAUAGAAAGAGGAAUAUAAAAAUUCUGUUAUAUAUUAUUUUGGGUUGCA